GGUGGUGGNGCCCGGUGGUAACGUCACCAAAUUAUGACUUCGGCGGACGUGUGUUCGAAUCCCAUCACCACCA
rnacentral:tRNA from 1 species